GAUGAAGAACGUAGCGAAAUGCGAUACGUAGUGUGAAUUGCAGAAUUCAGUGAAUCAUCGAAUCUUUGAACGCACAUUGCACCUCUCGGUAUUCCGGGAGGUAUGCCUGUUCGAGCGUCAUUUGUACCCUCAAGCUCUGCUUGGUGUUGGGUGUUUGUUCCGCCUCUGUGUGUGAACUCGCCUCAAAACAAUUGGCAGCCGGCGUACUUGUUUCGGAGCGCAGCACAUUUUGCGAUCCAGAUAAACGUACAGCGGCAUCCAAGAAGCCUUAUUUAACGCUCUUGACCUCGGAUCAGGUAGGGAUACCCGCUGAACUUAAGCAUAUCAAUAAGCGGAGGA
rnacentral:misc_RNA from 1 species